rnacentral:rRNA from 1 species
AACGCGAAGAACCUUACCUGCCCUUGACAUCCUCAGAAGCCUGUAGAGAUACGGGUGUGCCUUCGGGAACUGAGAGACAGGUGCUGCAUGGCUGUCGUCAGCUCGUGUCGUGAGAUGUUGGGUUAAGUCCCUUAACGAGCGCAACCCUUGUCCCUAAUUGCCAGCGAGUAAAGUCGGGAACUUUAGGGAGACUGCCAGUGACAAACUGGAGGAAGGUGGGGAUGACGUCAAGUCCUCAUGGCCCUUAUGGGCAGGGCUACACACGUGAUACAAUGGGGCGUACAAAGGGAAGCCAACCCGCGAGGGGGAGCGAAUCUCAGAAAACGCCUCGUAGUCCGGAUUGGAGUCUGCAACUCGACUCCAUGAAGUUGGAAUCGCUAGUAAUCGCGGAUCAGAACGCCGCGGUGAAUACGUUCCCGGGCCUUGUACACACCGCACGA